AGAGUUUGAUCAUGGCUCAGAGCGAACGCUGGCGGCGUACUUAACACAUGCAAGUCGAACGAGGAUCAUCAGUGUAGCAAUACAUUGGUGGUCCUAGUGGCGCACGGGUGAGUAACACGUGGGUAACCUGCCCUUGAGCUCGGGAUACCCCCUCGAAAGGGGGGCUAAUACCGGAUACGUUCCUUGGAUCGACAGGUCUGGGGAGGAAAGGUGGCGCAAGCUGCCGCUCUUGGAGGGGCUCGCGGCCUAUCAGCUAGUUGGCGGGGUAACGGCCCACCAAGGCUAUGACGGGUAGCUGGUCUGAGAGGACGACCAGCCACACGGGGACUGAGACACGGCCCCGACUCCUACGGGAGGCAGCAGUGGGGAAUUUUCCGCAAUGGGCGAAAGCCUGACGGAGUGACGCCGCGUGUGGGACGAAGGCCUUCGGGUCGUAAACCACUGUCAGUGGGAAAGAAGGAUGUCGGUGCUAAUACCAUCGGCAUUUGACGGUACCUGCAGAGGAAGCCCCGGCCAACUCUGUGCCAGCAGCCGCGGUAAGACAGAGGGGGCAAGCGUUGCUCGGAAUUACUGGGCGUAAAGGGCGCGUAGGCGGGAUGGCAAGUCGGUCGUGAAAUCCUUCGGCUCAACCGAAGAACGUCGAUCGAUACUGCUGUUCUUGAGGGUUGCAGAGGAGACUGGAAUUCCCGGUGUAGCGGUGAAAUGUGUAGAGAUCGGGAGGAACACCGGUGGCGAAGGCGGGUCUCUGGGCAAUUCCUGACGCUGAGGCGCGAAAGCGUGGGGACAAACGGGAUUAGAUACCCUAGUAGUCC
rnacentral:rRNA from 1 species